UCUACGGGAGGCAGCAGUGGGGAAUAUUGCGCAAUGGGCGAAAGCCUGGCGCAGCGACGCCGCGUGAGGGAUGAAGGUUUUCGGAUCGUAAACCUCUGUCAGAAGGGAAGAAACUACAUUGUGCUAAUCAGCAGUGUACUGACGGUACCUUCAAAGGAAGCACCGGCUAACUCCGUGCCAGCAGCCGCGGUAAUA
rnacentral:rRNA from 1 species